GGCCAGACUCCUACGGGAGGCAGCAGUGGGGGAUAUUGCACAAUGGGGGGAACCCUGAUGCAGCGACGCCGCGUGGGUGAAGGAGUGCUUCGGCAUGUAAAGCCCUAUCGGCAGGGAAGAAGCAAGACGGUACCUGACUAAGAAGCCCCGGCUAACUACGUGCCAGCAGCCGCGGGAAUACGUAGGGGGCGAGCGUUAUCCGGAUUCACUGGGUGUAAAGGGAGCGUAGACGACCAUGCAAGCUCGGUGUGAAAGGUGCGGGCACAACCCGCAGACUGCACUGAGAACUGUAUGGCUGGAGUGCCGGAGGGGCAGGCGGAAUUCCUGGUGUAGCGGUGAAAUGCGUAGAUAUCAGGAGGAACACCGGCGGCGAAGGCGGCCUGCUGGACCGCGACUGACGUUGAGGCUCGAAAGCGUGGGGAGCGAACAGGAUUAGAUACCCGUGUA
rnacentral:rRNA from 1 species